rnacentral:rRNA from 1 species
UCGAGCGAGUCUGCCUUGAAGAUCGGAGUGCUUGCACUCUGUGAAACAAGAUACAGGCUAGCGGCGGACGGGUGAGUAACACGUGGGUAACCUGCCCAAGAGAUCGGGAUAACACCUGGAAACAGAUGCUAAUACCGGAUAAUAACAGAUGAUGCCUAUCAACUGUUUAAAGAUGGUUCUGCUAUCACUCUUGGAUGGACCUGCGGUGCAUUAGCUAGUUGGUAGGGUAACGGCCUACCAAGGCGAUGAUGCAUAGCCGAGUUGAGAGACUGAUCGGCCACAUUGGGACUGAGACACGGCCCAAACUCCUACGGGAGGCAGCAGUAGGGAAUCUUCCACAAUGGACGCAAGUCUGAUGGAGCAACGCCGCGUGAGUGAAGAAGGGUUUCGGCUCGUAAAGCUCUGUUGUUGGUGAAGAAGGACGGGGGUAGUAACUGACCUUUGUUUGACGGUAAUCAAUUAGAAAGUCACGGCUAACUACGUGCCAGCAGCCGCGGUAAUACGUAGGUGGCAAGCGUUGUCCGGAUUUAUUGGGCGUAAAGCGAGUGCAGGCGGUUCGAUAAGUCUGAUGUGAAAGCCUUCGGCUCAACCGGAGAAUUGCAUCAGAAACUGUCGAGCUUGAGUANNNNAGAGGAGAGUGGAACUCCAUGUGUAGCGGUGAAAUGCGUAGAUAUAUGGAAGAACACCGGUGGCGAAGGCGGCUCUCUGGUCUGUUNNNGACGCUGAAGCUCGAAAGCAUGGGUAGCG